rnacentral:rRNA from 1 species
UAACCUGCCCAAGAGAUCGGGAUAACACCUGGAAACAGAUGCUAAUACCGGAUAACAACAGAUGAUGCCUAUCAACUGUUUAAAAGAUGGUUCUGCUAUCACUCUUGGAUGGACCUGCGGUGCAUUAGCUAGUUGGUAGGGUAACGGCCUACCAAGGCGAUAAUGCAUAGCCGAGUUGAGAGACUGAUCGGCCACAUUGGGACUGAGACACGGCCCAAACUCCUACGGGAGGCAGCAGCC